CCAAUCACCGGUGAAUUUUUCACUUUUGUUUAUCACUUCGAGGUCCGCGGAAUUUCGCACAAUAUUUUGCGGAAAGUGAUCGAAUAUCACGUAAGCGAAACGCGCACUAACGAGUGACAAACAACAACAUCCAGUUGUUCGGAGAGUGAUCGAGCACCAAGUUCAGCCUCUCUUACCGCAGCUCGAAGUUUCGAACUUUCAAGGGAAUACUUCCGUUCGAUCAAAUCCAGCUGGGAAUUGGCGCUAAAAAGUUACAAGAACGUAGUCUUGCGUCACUUACAAAUCCAUUCGUUCCAUCGCGUGUUCCUUCAGCUUGAGGUACUGCUCGUGUUUUUGACUGAUGCAAACAUCGCGCUCGUCGAGACUGUUUUUAAGAGUUUCUACGUUUUGG